rnacentral:rRNA from 1 species
GAUGAACGCUGGCGGCGUGCCUAACACAUGCAAGUCGAGCGAUUCUCUUCGGAGAAGAGCGGCGGACGGGUGAGUAACGCGUGGGUAACCUGCCCUGUACACACGGAUAACAUACCGAAAGGUAUGCUAAUACGAGAUAAUAUACUUUUAUCGCAUGGUAGAAGUAUCAAAGCUUUUGCGGUACAGGAUGGACCCGCGUCUGAUUAGCUAGUUGGUAAGGUAACGGCUUACCAAGGCGACGAUCAGUAGCCGACCUGAGAGGGUGAUCGGCCACAUUGGAACUGAGACACGGUCCAAACUCCUACGGAGGCAGCAGUGGGGAAUAUUGCACAAUGGGCGAAAGCCUGAUGCAGCAACGCCGCGUGAGCGAUGAAGGCCUUGGUCGUAAAGCUCUGUCCUCCAAGGAAGAUAAUGACGGUACUUGAGGAGGAAGCCC